rnacentral:tRNA from 1 species
GGGCCCUUAGCUCAGUUGGUUAGAGCAGCUGACUCAUAAUCAGCGGGUCGCAGGUUCGAGCCCUGCAGGGCCCACUA